rnacentral:rRNA from 1 species
GGAGUCGUACCGGUACCCGUAAGUCUUAAUGGGUACCCGUAGAGUUUGAUCCGGCCUCCGAAAGUCGUAACGGGGACGCCUAAAUACCACGUGGGCAACCUGCCUGUAAGACUGGGAUAACUUCGGGAAACCGAAGCUAAUACCGGAUAGGAUCUUCUCCUUCAUGGGAGAUGAUUGAAAGAUGGUUUCGGCUAUCACUUACAGAUGGGCCCGCGGUGCAUUAGCUAGUUGGUGAGGUAACGGCUCACCAAGGCAACGAUGCAUAGCCGACCUGAGAGGGUGAUCGGCCACACUGGGACUGAGACACGGCCCAGACUCCUACGGGAGGCAGCAGUAGGGAAUCUUCCGCAAUGGACGAAAGUCUGACGGAGCAACGCCGCGUGAGUGAUGAAGGCUUUCGGGUCGUAAAACUCUGUUGUUAGGGAAGAACAAGUACGAGAGUAACUGCUCGUACCUUGACGGUACCUAACCAGAAAGCCACGGCUAACUACGUGCCAGCAGCCGCGGUAAUACGUAGGUGGCAAGCGUUAUCCGGAAUUAUUGGGCGUAAAGCGCGCGCAGGCGGUUUCUUAAGUCUGAUGUGAAAGCCCACGGGCUCAACCGUGGAGGGUCAUUGGAAACUGGGGAACUUGAGUGCAGAAGAAAAAAGCGGAAUUCCCCGUGUAGCGGUGAAAUGCGUAGAGAUGUGGAGGACACCAGUUG